rnacentral:rRNA from 1 species
GUGCCAGCAGCCGCGGUAAUACAGAGGUCCCGAGCGUUGUUCGGAUUCACUGGGCGUAAAGGGUGCGUAGGUGGCGGGGUAAGUUUGAUGUGAAAUCUCCGGGCUUAACCCGGAAAAGGCAUUGAAUACUAUUCUGCUUGGAGGGUUGGAGGGGGGACUGGAAUUCUCGGUGUAGCAGUGAAAUGCGUAGAUAUCGAGAGGAACACCAGUGGCGAAGGCGAGUCCCUGGACAACACCUGACACUGAGGCACGAAAGCUAGGGGAGCAAACAGGAUUAGAUACCCUGGUAGUCC